rnacentral:rRNA from 1 species
GACGAACGCUGGCGGCGUGCCUAAUACAUGCAAGUUGAGCGCUGAAGGUUGGUACUUGUACCAACUGGAUGAGCAGCGAACGGGUGAGUAACGCGUGGGUAAUCUGCCUUUGAGCGGGGGACAACAUUUGGAAACGAAUGCUAAUACCGCAUAAAAACUUUAAACACAAGUUUUAAGUUUGAAAGAUGCAAUUGCAUCACUCAAAGAUGAUCCCGCGUUGUAUUAGCUAGUUGGUGAGGUAAAGGCUCACCAAGGCGAUGAUACAUAGCCGACCUGAGAGGGGGAUCGGCCACAUUGGGACUGAGACACGGCCCAAACUCCUACGGGAGGCAGCAGUAGGGAAUCUUCGGCAAUGGACGAAAGUCUGACCGAGCAACGCCGCGUGAGUGAAGAAGGUUUUCGGAUCGUAAAACUCUGUUGGUAGAGAAGAACGUUGGUGAGAGUGGAAAGCUCAUCACGUGACGGUAACUACCCAGAAAGGGACGGCUAACUACGUG